GCCGAAAACCUAGCCCCCCCCCCCACAUUUUCCGCCAAAAACAAAUUAAAAUAUUUUACCACCUAAGUAAAGAUGAUUAAAAACUUAAUAGGAGCUACACCCGUACCGCAAGGGACAGAUGAAAUAAUAGUGAAAACACAAGCCCCAAAAAGUAAAGAUUAAAACUUGUACCUUUCGCAUCAUGAUUUAACUAGUUAAACCAAGCAAAAAGACUUUUAGUUUGGCCCCCCGAAACUGGAUGAGCUACUCUAGGGCAGCUAAACGAGCACACCCGUCCCUGUGGCAAAAGGGUGGGAAGACCCUAUAGUAGCGGUGACAGACCUAACGAAUCCAGUGAUAGCUGGUUGCUUGAGAAAAGAAUUUUAGUCCCACCUAAAGCCACCCUAUAACCCAAAUUAACGCUUUAGAGCAAUUCAAAUAAGGUACAGCUUAUUUGAAAAAGGAUACAACCUCAAACACCGGGUAAUCUCUAGUGCACAUCAAACUAAGUGGGCCUAAGAGCAGCCACCUUGAAAAGAGCGUCAAAGCCUAACUUGCCUCGCACCCAAAUACCUCGAUCCUCACAAAACCCUUCCCCACUAUCAAGUUCUUCUAUGUCCCCAUAGAAAUUUUUAUGUUAAAACUAGUAACAAGAACACAAUUCUCUUAAUGCAAGUGUAAGUCAGAACGGACCCCCCACUGACGCUUAUUCAACAGCUAACAGCACCCUCCUCUAGAAACUCCUGGUUUCCCCACUGUUAACCUAACACAAGAACAUUCCAAGAAAGAUCAUACGAAAGAGAAGGAACUCGGCAAAUAUUUAUCCCGCCUGUUUACCAAAAACAUCGCCUCUUGACCCAAAUAAGAGGUCCAGCCUGCCCAGUGACAUCAUGUUCAACGGCCGCGGUAUCCUGACCGUGCAAAGGUAGCGUAAUCACUUGUUUUUUAAAUAAAGACUAGUAUGAAAGGCAUCACGAGGAUUAACCUGUCUCCUCUCCCUGAUCUGUGAAACUAAUCUUCCCGUGAAGAAGCGGGAAUCUCCCCAUAAGACGAGAAGACCCUAUGGAGCUUUAGACACGCGACACUGCCACCACUCACUCACCGUGAGUUUAUCAUGGCAUCUUACCGCACAGUCUUAGGUUGGGGUGACCGCGGAGCAAAACUUACCCUCCACGCUGAAUGGGGCUCCCCCUAAACAAAGAGCCACAACUCCAUGUAUCAAAAAACUGACAGCGAUUGACCCAAUCACUUGAUCAACGAAACAAGUUACCCUAGGGAUAACAGCGCAAUCCUCUUCAAGAGCCCCUAUCGACAAGAGGGUUUACGACCUCGAUGUUGGAUCAGGGUGUCCAAGUGGUGCAGCCGCUACUAAAGGCUCGUUUGUUCAACGAUUAAAACCCUACGUGAUCUGAGU
rnacentral:rRNA from 1 species